rnacentral:rRNA from 1 species
CCUACGGGUGGCAGCAGUGGGGAAUAUUGCACAAUGGCGGGAACCCUGAUGCAGCGACGCCGCGUGUGUGAAGGAGUAUCUAGGUAUUGUAAGCCCUAUCAGCAGGGAAGAACAAUGACGGUACCUGACUAAGAAGCACCGGCUAAAUACGUGCCAGCAGCCGCGGUACUACGUAUGGUGCAAGCGUUAUCCGGAAUUACUGGGUGUAACGGGAGCGCAGGCGGCGCGUUCAGCCUGGUGUGAAAGUCCGCGGCCCAACCGCGGGACUGCAGUGGGAACUGGCGCGCUGGAGUGCCGGAGGGGUAGGCGGAAUUCCUAGUGUAGCGGUGAAAUGCGUAGAUAUUAGGCGGAACACCAGUGGCGAAGGCGGCCUACUGGACGGUGACUGACGCUGAGGCUCGAAAGCGUGGGGAGCAAACAGGAUUAGAUACCCGAGUAGUC